rnacentral:rRNA from 1 species
ACGCUCGACACCUACGGAGGCAGCAGUGGGGGAUAUUGCACAAUGGGGGGAACCCUGAUGCAGCGACGCCGCGUGAGGGAAGAAGGUUUUCGGAUUGUAAACCUCUGUCCUCAGGGAAGAAGAUGACGGUACCUGAGGAGGAAGCCACGGCUAACUACGUGUCAGCAGCCGCGGUAAUCUGAGCGGGCUGGCAAGGC